AUCAUGGGCUGACAUCACAAAAUAGGAGGCAUUUUCAGAGCAGCCCUCACAUUCUUUCUUUGUCAGCUUCUAAAUACUCCCAGUUACCACAGGGAAAAAAGGAUCUCAAACGGCCCUCCCAUCUGAACUGCAAAACCAAUGACUUCUGAGUUGUGCCAGAAUUCAAGGAUGAGAACUUGAAGAUUUACUAAGGGAGAAGGUAGAAACACAGUUUCACCAACUGGAAAGAGAGGAAAAAUACUUUUGAACAAGUGCAGCUUCAGAAUAGGGUUUAAAGAAAAAGAACCUGACUUACACAUGUAUUCUUCAGAGUCAGAAGGGAAUACACUUGAAAUAUUUCCAGAAAUAAUCGAGGUAUUAACAUGCUGAAAUAGAAAAGAGAAGCUGAAAUAUAACCCCACACAAGCACAUGCAGUCACCCUGCUGGAUAGUCAAUGGCAGACCAAAGUUCUGCUGCUGUUGAAACAGUCUCAAGAUGAUUUCAUUGAAAGAAAAAGAGUCCUUUUCCAAUACACGUGCUCGGAUAAGGCACUGAAACUGCCAUCCUGAAUUCCCUCAUAACCUCACCAGGAGCUUUGGCUGCAAG